rnacentral:lncRNA from 1 species
GUUCACUGGAAAAUGUAACAAAUAAUUUCAAGGUUAUGUCACUCUUGGCAAGCACAGUAACGCUGGUGAAAAAAAGGGAAGUUUUCAGAGCAAGGCAAAGACUGAAAUCUUGUUUGGAGCCACCAGUCUACAAAGCCCGCAGUGGAACCAUAGUGCUCAGAUUCACAGGGGUCUCUGAUGCUCCCAGAUAUGGAAUGCCAACUGACUCUAAGAAGGAUGAGACACAGAGACCAGAACUUAACUGCCUUUCCCAGAUUAAAAGGUCCUGGAUUUGGAUCUGUUCUUCUGCAUUCAGAAUACCUCCCAUGAAGCACCAAGGCCACAUUCCAACACCUCAGCGCCUUUGGUUACAUUCCUGA